ACUGCGAAUGGCUCAUUAAAUCAGUUAUAGUUUAUUUGAUAGUACCUUCUACCUGGAUAACCGUGGUAAUUCUAGAGCUAAUACAUGCUAAAAACCCCGACUUACGGAGGGGUGUAUUUAUUAGAUAAAAAACCAAUGCCCUCCGGGGCUCACUGGUGAUUCAUGAUAACUUAACGAAUCGCAUGGCCUUGCGCCGGCGAUGGUUCAUUCAAAUUUCUGCCCUAUCAACUUUCGAUGGUAGGAUAGUGGCCUACCAUGGUCUCAACGGGUAACGGGGAAUUAGGGUUCGAUUCCGGAGAGGGAGCCUGAGAAACGGCUACCACAUCCAAGGAAGGCAGCAGGCGCGCAAAUUACCCAAUUCCAAUACUAGAGAGGUAGUGACGAUAAAUACCGAUACAGGGCUCUUUCGGGUCUUGUAAUUGGAAUGAGUACAAUCUAAACCCCUUAACGAGGAACAAUUGGAGGGCAAGUCUGGUGCCAGCAGCCGCGGUAAUUCCAGCUCCAAUAGCGUAUAUUAAAGUUGUUGCAGUUAAAAAGCUCGUAGUUGAACCUUGGGCCUGGCCGAUCUGUCUUCCUAACCGUUGUACGGAUUCGGUCGGGCCUUUCCUUCUGGGGAGCCCCAUGUCCUUCACUGGGCGUGGUGGGGAACCAGGACUUUUACCUUGAAAAAAUUAGAGUGUUCAAAGCAGGCCUUUGCUCGAAUACAUUAGCAUGGAAUAAUGGAAUAGGACAGCAGUUCUAUUUUGUUGGUUUCUAGGACCGCUGUAAUGAUUAAUAGGGAUAGUCGGGGGCGUCAGUAUUCAAUUGUCAGAGGUGAAAUUCUUGGAUUUAUUGAAGACUAAC
rnacentral:rRNA from 1 species